AUUGAACGCUGGCGGCAGGCCUAACACAUGCAAGUCGAGCGGAUGAAGGGAGCUUGCUCCUGGAUUCAGCGGCGGACGGGUGAGUAAUGCCUAGGAAUCUGCCUGUUAGUGGGGGAUAACGUCCGGAAACGGGCGCUAAUACCGCAUACGUCCUGAGGGGGAAAUUGGGGGAUCUUCGGACCUCCCGCUAUCAGAUGAGCCUAGGUCGGAUUAGCUAGUUGGUGGGGUAAAGGCCUACCAAGGCGACGAUCCGUAACUGGUCUGAGAGGAUGAUCAGUCACACUGGAACUGAGACACGGUCCAGACUCCUACGGGAGGCAGCAGUGGGGAAUAUUGGACAAUGGGCGAAAGCCUGAUCCAGCCAUGCCGCGUGUGUGAAGAAGGUCUUCGGAUUGUAAAGCACUUUAAGUUGGGAGGAAGGGCAGUAAGUUAAUACCUUGCUGUUUUGACGUUACCAACAGAAUAAGCACCGGCUAACUUCGUG
rnacentral:rRNA from 1 species